CAGUAAGGGCCUUUUGGCCCAUUACGAGAUGCAACCCUUGUCUUUUUGUGCACCUUUGUUUCCUCGGCAGCCUAGCCUGCCAACGAGGACCCCCAAAAACCUUUAGUCAAUCCUAGUGUAACAUUCUGAAAACAAACAAUAUUA
rnacentral:misc_RNA from 1 species